UUUUUCUUUUCCCUCAGCUACUUAGGGAAACCACGUGGCUUCUGACUUCUGUUGAUGUACUCUUGAACAAACACGGGAUUUUCAUUGAGUGAAGCUCAUUACUUUUCACCCCUGCUCUCCUGCCCUGGGUGGCACUGUCAGGACCUACACUGCUCCAGCAUGUAAACAGCUUGGCAGGUGUGAUAGCAGUGCCCAGAUCGUGUCUUUUGAUUCAGCAAGUCUCUUGUCUGUCAAAAGUGGUGUUGACUGUGAGUUU
rnacentral:lncRNA from 14 species